rnacentral:rRNA from 3 species
AAAACUUUCAACAACGGAUCUCUUGGUUCCGGCAUCGAUGAAGAACGCAGCGAAAUGCGAUACGUAAUGUGAAUUGCAGAAUUCAGUGAAUCAUCGAGUCUUUGAACGCACAUUGCGCCCCCUGGUAUUCCGGGGGGCAUGCCUGUCCGAGCGUCAUUG